CACCUUUUCACAUGGAAAAUCAUUUCACUGUUUCUCACUGAAUGACUCCCCAAACUAGAUUUGAAAUUCUAUCAAGUUUCUAAUCAUUACAAGUGAUUCAUGUUUCUAUUUGAUGUGUGUAAAUGGAGAUGAUUUAGUUUGCUGGGAUAUUCAGAACAGAAAGAUACAGUUGGAAGAUGAAUGAUUGCGGGGUUUUUUAUGAUGCGUAGUAAACUACCCCCUCUUCUUCUUCUCUGUGUUGAUGUUGUUUGUGUGUGUGCGUGCGCGUGCGCGUGUGUGAAUGUAUUAGAAGUCAAAGUAUACAUUAGCCAUACUUACAAAAACAUUUUUAAUUUCAUUUAGAACUGAGAUUCUAAGUUGUAAGCAGAAAUCUUAUGCUCAGCCAGAAGCGUGUUUCCCCACUUUCACAAUGCUGAGGUGACAAAUCCACGAUCCAACAGAUGGUUUGUGACACGUGGGCGAGAAGGGCAAGCCACCCCUUACUUACACAACCUCACACACUAUAGAUUUUUAAAGUUCUUGUGUACAACGGUUUAGCUACAGAUACAACUUCUACUUUUAACAAAGAUCACUCCGUCUGCAUAUUUGUUAAGAAAUAAAGCGUCUUUACUGGGAUAUUUAUUGUCAAACUAUGCGAUUUUCCAAAUGUGUGUGGAGUAAAAUGUUGUGACCAAGAAUCAUUCAGGAUUAACAACACAAACUGUUUUGAUAGCAGAAACAGUCUGCCCUAUAGUUCCCAUACUUUACCGCUAGUUUUACAAACACAUUCUUCUUCAUAUCUGUUUAAUUGUUCUUUUAUGAAACUGGUUUUCAAUAGUACAACCAACGUCUAACUUUUCCUUGCUCCCCAGUAUAAAUGCAAGAAUUUUGCAGACUUUAUUGAAACUGUCACAAUUUAACACUCAGUACCAUAAAUAGAGUUGAUCCAUAUGGACACUGUUUCAUACAUCAACAGCUCUGAAAAUCACUUUUAAAGUAAUGUAGAACAUGAUCUCUCUCACUCUCAGUGUCUCUAAAAACCCAGCAAACUGACAAUCACCUCUAAACAAGGGGGGUUAGUUUAUAGGUUUUUUGCUUGUUUGUUUUGUUUUUUGAUCAGGCGCAACACCAUGUAAUGCAUGGAUGUUAGACUCUUUCACCAGACCAUGCUGCUAGCCCAACCACCAGGCUCAGGGUCUCUGAGCUCUAACCCUCUAAUGUGCCUCUGAGCCUCGUGUGCCUUUUCACCACCAGACUAAGUUUGUAGUCUCACCUGCUAAUAUUAUUUUAUUAUAGCACAAUAUUCAGCUUGGUUACUACUUUGACUUUCUUACUUUGAGCACAUUUCUGAGCCCAUACAUUAUCAAACUUUUACUUGAGUAUCUCUGACACUAGCAGCUAUACUUCUACUUAAGUAAAAAAUGCCUGCAUUCUCUCCCAGUGUACCCUUGUCUCACAACAGGGUGGUUCCCAAAGUACGACUCAAUAAACAGAGACUGUAAAACCAGAACAGAAAGAUAAAGUUGGAAGAUCAAAGAUUAAGGUUUGUGUUUUUAGAGCACGAAGUAAACUGUCCCCUUGUCUUCUAGGCCUUGGCGUGCGUACCUUAGAAGUCAGAUUAUACAUUAGUCAUACUUCCAAAAACAUUUUGAAUUUCAUUUAUAACUGAGAUGUCAAGCUGAUAUCAGACAUCUUAUGCUCACCAGGAGCAUGUAUCCCCAACUUCAAAACCUUAAGGUGUCAAAUUCACAAACCCGAUGUAGCCGGAGGGGCUACUCGCUUUUUCUUUCUCUCUCGCCCCCACUUGCGCUACUGCUUUCUCUCUCUCCCUCCUGUGCUUGCUCCCGCUGCGCGCUUACGUCAACUAGGAGCACACCUGUAUAUUGAUUACAGGGCGGCGUUCACCUGUAUAAAGAGAAGCCGGGUUCUUUCGUUGGAUUAUUUCCUCCCGAGCUUCUGGUGCGAUACAGCGGUAGACGCUGGCUUGCUGGUUAAAUUACUGAGGCGAUCAGGUCGUGUGAUUGCUACAGUGCGGCUGUUUUUCUUUCCUUUGCUCCAGCCGUGGUGAGGAGACGCGUGAGUGCAUCCGCCGUGCAGUACAGCGCCUCCAAGUUCUGGGGGUUUGAUUGCUGCCGUGCCCUCUCGGGGACCAACCGCCUGCUUUGGCUACGUAGAGAGUCGGGCACCUGCCCUGCUGCUGUCUUGUUUUGUUGAUUUUGUUAUAUUACGGUCAAUCUGUCGGCGGCCCAGUUUUCCCCUGUAGCUUGCCUUUCCACGCCCUUUUGGACUAUUGUUCGCUCCAGCUUUUGUGGCUGGCCGGGGCGAUUGUCGGCCGUAUACUGGGCCGGUUAUACGAACUGGUACUGCCUUUCCCCUUUCUCCCAGCUGUGGGAAGUUGUGUGAGACCGAGCAGACCAAGGAUAAUCGGACCCAGCACCAGCUUUGGGCUGGUUCGCCGAGUGAAAGUAUUUUUAAUCAGUGCUCUGUGGUGUCUAACUGGGUGUGUUGUAUCACCGACUUUUGUUUUCCUUUAAUUGUUUCUUUCUUUUGUUUUCUAGGUUGAGAGCUUGUUUAUGUCCCAUGUUUUUAUCCUUUUUAAUGUGUUUAUCUCGUGCUUUUAUUUCAGCGAACUGAGGAUUUACCAGCGGCCGUGGGACCUCAGGUGGUGCGUCGUUUUCCACACUACUAUUGUUGUACAGCACCAGGUGAAUAGACUAUAGUAGGUUUUUUUUUUUGUGUGUGGUUCUUUUGGUCCACCGCUGCUGGUAAGUCCCAGUUGUAUUUAUUUGUAUUGUAAUUUGGGACACCGUUUUAGAUAUUCAGUGCGCUGUUGUUUUGUUUUUCAUUUUACAUUAAUAAAUAAAAUUGUGUUUAUAUUUGA